AGACGUGUGCACUUCCCAUUUCUAUAUUGAAGCAAUUUCCAAAUAGUUCCCUACAAAGGAUCAUUCAUUUUUUAAAUACUCAGCAAAAUAAUA